CUCCUUCCCUGUCAGGAUUUUUGAUGAUUCCCAGAGUUAUCCUGCAUGUUUCUGGACUUUAGUUUGGCUGGCUUUGGCCUGUUUGUUGUUUAUUUAUUGCAGGCCUGGUUGGUCUGCCUGUUCUGGACUAACUUCCUGAUUUGGACUGGCCUGCCUGGUUUAUCACAUUAGAAUUCCCAGCAGGCCUCAUCCAAGGACGCCCCCUGUUCUCCAGGUGGAUGGUUUCAGCUGUCAGGCCACAUUUCUUUCUGUCGGAGACUCUGUAAACAACACGUGAGGAGGGCGACAGAGAGAAUCGUCUCGCUGACACUCGGGAGAAGAAUGAAGGAUGUCUUGGAUGAAAUGGCGAAUAUGCAAUUUGUUGGACAGGUUGCUCUGCCUACCUGUAUAAGCUGUUUAACUGUAUCCCAAGGGGAAAUUAAAAAGUCGUUCUUUUUCA